rnacentral:rRNA from 1 species
AUGCAAGUCGAGGGAGAAGCCUUCGGGCUGAAACCGGCGCACGGGUGCGUAACGCGUAUACAAUCUGCCUUUCACAUAGGGAUAGCCCGAAGAAAUUUGGAUUAAUACCUAAUGGUAUAUAGGAGCGGCAUCGUUUUUAUAUUAAAGCUACGGUGGUGAAAGAUGAGUAUGCGUUCUAUUAGCUAGUUGGAGAGGUAACGGCUCCCCAAGGCGACGAUAGAUAGGGGUUCUGAGAGGGAUGUCCCCCACACUGGUACUGAGAUACGGACCAGACUCCUACGGGAGGCAGCAGUGAGGAAUAUUGGACAAUGGUCGGAAGACUGAUCCAGCCAUGCCGCGUGCAGGAUGAAGGUCCUAUGGAUUGUAAACUGCUUUUGUAAGGGAAGAAUAAGGGGUACGUGUACUUUGAUGACGGUACCUUACGAAUAAGCAUCGGCUAACUCCGUGCCAGCAGCCGCGGUAAUACGGAGGAUGCGAGCGUUAUCCGGAAUCAUUGGGUUUAAAGGGUCCGUAGGCGGGCUAAUAAGUCAGAGGUGAAAGCGUUCAGCUCAACUGAGCAACUGCCUUUGAAACUGUUAGUCUUGAAUGAUUGUGAAGUAGUUGGAAUGUGUAGUGUAGCGGUGAAAUGCUUAGAUAUUACACAGAACACCGAUAGCGAAGGCAUAUUACUAACAAUUUAUUGACGCUGUUGGACGAAAGCGUGGGGAGCGAACAGGAUUAGAUACCCUGGUAGUCCACGCUGUAAACGAUGGAUACUAGCUGUUUGGAGCAAUCUGAGUGGCUAAGCGAAAGUGAUAAGUAUCCCACCUGGGAGUACGCA